AGCUUUGCGCAGUGGCAGUAUCGUAGCCCAUGAUGUCAAUCCGAGGCGUGAUUAUUGCUAAUUGAAAACUUUACCCAAUACCCCGCCAUGAUGACUUGAAAUACAGUCAGCAUUGGCGAUUUUUGACAGGCUCUGAGGAGA
rnacentral:snRNA from 1 species